GCCAGUGUGGCUCAGUGUUUGGAGUGUUGGUUGGUACACCAAAGGGUCUUGGGUUCAAUUCCCAGUCCUGGUC
rnacentral:tRNA from 1 species